rnacentral:tRNA from 1 species
GGAGAGGUGCCGGAGUGGCCGAACGGGGUGGUCUCGAAAACCACUGAGCACUUAUGGUGUUCCUAGGGUUCGAAUCCCUACCUCUCCGCCA